GGGGGGGGGGGGGGGCGGGGCGGGUGGGGGGGGGGGGGGGGGGCGGGGGGGAGGCUGGCUUUUCGGGUGUUAGCGGCGGGCGGGUGAGUAAGACGUGGCUAACCUACCUCUAAGACUGGGGUGACUUCGGGAAACCUUAGCUAAUACCGGAUACUAGUUUGAAACGCAUGUUUCAACAAUGCAAGACGGUCUUGCUGUCACUUAUCGAUGGAUCCGCGCUGCAUUAGCUAGUUGGUAAUGGAACGGCUUACCAAGGCAACGAUGCAUAGCCGAACUGAGAGGGUGAUCGGACACACUGGAACUGAGACACGGUCCAGACUCCGACGGGAGGCAGCAGUAGGGAAUCUUCCGCAAUGGGCGAAAGCCUGACGGAGCAACGCCGCGUGAGUGAUGAAGGUCUUCGGAUCGUAAAACUCUGUUAUUAGGGAAGAACAUAUGUGUAAGUAACUGUGCACAUCUUGACGGUACCUAAUCAGAAAGCCACGGCUAACUACGUG
rnacentral:rRNA from 1 species